rnacentral:rRNA from 1 species
CAGCCGCCACGGUAAUACAGAGGGUGCAAGCGUUAAUCGGAUUUACUGGGCGUAAAGGGCGCGUAGGUGGUUAUUUAAGUGAGAUGUGAAAGCCCCGGGCUUAACCUGGGAACUGCAUCUUAUACUGGGUAACUGGAGUGCAGUAGAGGGUAGUGGAAUUUCCGGUGUAGCGGUGAAAUGCGUAGAGAUCGGGAGGAACAUCAGUGGCGAAGGCGGCCAUCUGGGACAACACUGACGCUGAGGCACGAAAGCGUGGGGAGCAAACAGGAUUAGAUACCCCCGUAGUCCCUGUCUCUUAUAC